rfam:Hordeum vulgare subsp. vulgare, WGS project CAJW01000000 data, contig: morex_contig_1558210
CAUAUACUCCGUCCGUCCGUAAUUAUUUAUCAUAAAAAUGGAUACAAAUAAAUGUAUCUAGAAUUAAAAUACAUCUAGAUACAUCCAUUACUACGACAAGUAUUUCUGAACGGAGGGAGCACUAC